UACGAAGGGGGCUAGCGUUGCUCGGAAUCACUGGGCGUAAAGGGCGCGUAGGCGGCUGUUCAAGUCGGGGGUGAAAGCCUGUGGCUCAACCACAGAAUGGCCUUCGAUACUGGACGGCUCGAGACCGGAAGAGGUCAGUGGAACUGCGAGUGUAGAGGUGAAAUUCGUAGAUAUUCGCAAGAACACCAGUGGCGAAGGCGGCUGACUGGUCCGGUUCUGACGCUGAGGCGCGAAAGCCAGGGGAGCAAACGGG
rnacentral:rRNA from 1 species